GAUGAAGUAUCUCCUGAGGUAAAGAUUUGAGUGCACUUCACGUGAACCACUACGUGAGAGUGAGACUCAGCCAACGCCAAGGCAUGACUAAAAUUUCGGAUGUAAAGACAUUUAACAGCCUUGGCGGACUCGGUUGGGAUAACCCUCGAUCAAGGUAUCCCUGAUAACUGAGUAUGAGAAUGAUUUUUGGCACGAGCCAAGCUUUUCAGGAAAUCAUAAGCCUAUUUGUUUAUUUUGGUGAAAUGAGUUGAAAGGUAAUGAAAUUACAGUAUGAUGACUUAUUUUAAUUCGUCUCCAUUUACUCGCCUUUAGAUAGUUUAGAUGGUGUCUGUUUACUCACUGAGAUUUUAUAAUCUUACCACCCUCAUUUCCUCACAUUUCAGGCUCGGGAAGUUUCAUAGUUAGCUGACUUUGAC
rnacentral:lncRNA from 1 species